CGAGCUGUACCGGGCGCUGGCGGCGGCCGGCGGGACCCUGCCCCGCGUGCGCAAGGACGCGGGGUUCAGGUGGGUGACCCCGAGCCAGUCCCCGGAGGAGCACAGGAGGGUGGUGACGCUGGAGAAGAAGGCGGAGGAGUCUUUCGGCUUCGAGAUCCAGGUGGGUGCUGAGCUGAGCUGAGCUGAGCUGAGCUGAGCUGAGCUGAGCUGUGCCGAGCUGUGCCGAGCUCAGCCGUGCCAUGCCCUGCUCCCCACCCUGCCAGCCUGCACCUUGCUUUGCAUCGAGGGUAUUUUUAAGUUGUCUCUGAGCCAGGGGUUAUUUUUAGCAGUGACAGAGCCGCCGUGUUACCGAACCUCUCCCGGCCGUGGGCAGCCCGG